ACCUGCCCAUCAGAAGGGGAUAACACUUGGAAACAGGUGCUAAUACCGUAUAACAAUCGAAACCGCAUGGUUUUGAUUUGAAAGGCGCUUUCGGGUGUCGCUGAUGGAUGGACCCGCGGUGCAUUAGCUAGUUGGUGAGGUAACGGCUCACCAAGGCCACGAUGCAUAGCCGACCUGAGAGGGUGAUCGGCCACAUUGGGACUGAGACACGGCCCAAACUCCUACGGGAGGCAGCAGUAGGGAAUCUUCGGCAAUGGACGAAAGUCUGACCGAGCAACGCCGCGUGAGUGAAGAAGGUUUUCGGAUCGUAAAACUCUGUUGUUAGAGAAGAACAAGGAUGAGAGUAACUGUUCAUCCCUUGACGGUAUCUAACCAGAAAGCCACGGCUAACUACGUGCCAGCAGCCGCGGUAAUACGUAGGUGGCAAGCGUUGUCCGGAUUUAUUGGGCGUAAAGCGAGCGCAGGCGGUUUCUUAAGUCUGAUGUGAAAGCCCCCGGCUCAACC
rnacentral:rRNA from 1 species